rnacentral:rRNA from 1 species
UACGGAGGAGCUAGCGUUGUUCGGAAUUACUGGGCGUAAAGGGCGCGUAGGUGGCCCGGUCAGUUCGUGGUGAAAGCGCGGGGCUCAACCCUGCGUCGGCCAUGAAUACUGCCGCGGCUGGAGCACUGUAGAGGCAGGCGGAAUUCCGGGUGUAGCGGUGGAAUGCGUAGAGAUCCGGAAGAACACCGGUGGCGAAGGCGGCCUGCUGGGCA